rnacentral:rRNA from 1 species
AUUGAACGCUGGCGGCAGGCCUAACACAUGCAAGUCGAACGAGCGGCGGACGGGUGAGUAAUGUAUGGGAAACUGCCUGAUGGAGGGGGAUAACUACUGGAAACGGUAGCUAAUACCUCAUACUAUCUGAUUAGCCCAUAUGGGAUUAGAUAGUAGGGUGGGUAACGGCUCACCUAGGCGACGAUCUCUAGCUGGUCUGAGAGGAUGACCAGACAACCGGGAACUGAGACACGGCCCAGAAGCCUACGGGAGGCAGCAGUGGGGAAUAUUGCACAAUGGGCGCAAGCAUGAUGCAGCCAUGCCGCGUGUAUGAAGAAGGCCUUAGGGUUGUAAAGUACUUUCAGCGGGGAGGCGUUACCCGCAGAAGAAGCACCGGCUAACUCCGUGCCAGCAGCCGCGGUAAUAC